CCUUCAAUUCACUACUUUUACCUUGAUACAAGACUUCUACAUUGGAACAAGUAUUAGGAACUGAUAAUUUGUAAGGCCAUACCGAACAAGAAAAGCUUUUCAUUCAAUAACAAAUAAACUAGUAACUUACAACCAAUUUCUCCACUCCUCUUUGUUUAGCGACGGCUGGGUUCCCCCUUCUCUUUUCUUUUCCAGUUGAUUCGCAGAGAUAUAAUAAAGCAGUUAGGUUUAGGUUUAUUUAUUAAUUAAUAUAUUUUAUUAAUACUUUUAAUUUUAUUAGGAUUUAAAAUGACACAAAUAUAAAUUAGACCCAAUUAAUUAAAAGAGCCAAUUUAAUGUAAUAUUACUUAUUAUGGUCCAAAUAAAUUAAAUAGAAUCUGGACCCAAACAUAAGGAAAGCCCAAUUAAAUAUUUUAAAGCUUACUUAAUUAUUUUAUUAUUAUUUUAUUGGGUAUUACAUCACCUUCCCCUUAAAAAGGAUUCCGUCCCCGGAAUCAAAAUAACAGAACGUACCUAAUUUUCAAAAAGAUGCGGAUAUUCCGCUCGAAUAGACUCCUCCAUCUCCCAAGUAGCUUCUCGCUCCGAAUAGUUUUUCCACAAGACUUUAACAAAAGGAAUUGUCUUCCUCCUCAUAAUCCGUUCUUGACGAUCUAGAAUCGUCUCGGCUUCUUCCUCACAAGUAAGAUCUUCUUGAAUCUUAUGUAACGGGUAUUACACAACAUGAAGCGGAUGAUAGAUAUAUUUCCUUAAACACCGAAACAUGAAAGAUAUUAUGCACAUGAGAUAAUUGUGGAGGCAAAGCCACCCGAUAUGCCACUUCUCCAACUCUCUCAAGGACUUCAAAAGGGCCAAUGAAACGCAGACUAAGCUUCCCUUUCAAACCAAACCUUCGAACACCUUUCCAUGGAAAAACUUUCAAAAACACGUGUUCACCAGGCGUGAAUUCAAGAGCCCUCCUAUGAAUAUCAGCAUAACUCUUUUGCCGCGAUCUAGCUUCUUUUAACUUUUCUUUAUCCACUACUACCUUCUGCGUAGUAAUUCUAACCAAAUCAGGUCCUUCUAUUACGCUUUCUCCUACCUCAUCCCAACAAGUCGGAGCUCGAUACUUCUUACCAUAUAAUGCUUCAAAAGGGGCCAUACCAAUACUAGCUUACCAACUAUUAUUAUAUGCGAACUCCACCAAACUCAAAUAAUCAUCCCAGUUCCCUGUCCAUUCUAAAGCACAAGAUCACAACAUGUCUUCUAAUGUCUGAAUAGUUCUCUCUGAUUGUCCAUCUGUCUGCGGGUGAAAAGCUGUACUAUAGUUGAGUCGCGUUCCCCAAGCUCGUUGAAAUCCUUUCCAAAAUCGAAAAGUAAACCGCAGAUCCCGAUCCGAAACAAUAGAAAUUGGAGUCCCAUGAAGCCUAACAAUCUCACGUUGAAAAAUAUCUGCCAACUUAUUCACCGAAAAAUCCUCACGAAUAGCCAGAAAAUAUGCCGAUUUGGUCAAACGAUCCACUACCACCCAAAUAGCAUCAUUCUUUUUUAAGAGUCCUUGGUAAUCCAAUCACAAAGUCCAUCGAAAUGUCAUCCCAUUUCCACACAAGAAUCUCUAACUGUUGCAAUAAACCACCAGGCCACUGAUGCUCUAUUUUCACUUGCUGACAAGUAAGACAUUUACUCACAAAUUCAGCUACAUCCCUUUUCAUUCCACUCCACCAGAAAUUUUCCUUCAAAUCCUUAUACAUCUUUGUAGACCCCGGAUGAAUAGAAAAUGGUGAACUAUGAGCUUCAGUUAACACUGCCUCACAAAUCACUGGAACACAUAACCGUUUACCGAACCAUAUCACACCUUGCUCAUCAAUGCAAAACUCUAGCUGCCUACCCUCAUUCAUAUUCUGCGCUACAGCCCACAACUCGCCAUCAUCCUUUUGGGCUUCUUUGAUACACAAAAUAAGAGAAGGUUCCACCCUCAUACCUACUACCAACCCAUCAGAACCUCUAGCAUAUAACUCUAAACCCACACGCUCCAUAUCCGAGAUAAGUUGAGGUUGUGUAACCAAGGCAGCUACACUCCCUGAACUUUCCGACUAAGAGCAUCUGCAACCACAUUAGCCUUACCGGGGUGAUACUGUAUCCUGGCAUCAUAAUCCUUGAGAAGCUCCAACCAAGGCCUCUGUCUCAUGUUAAGCUCCUUCUAAGUAAAAAUAUAUUUAAGGCUUAUGGUCGAUGAAAAUGUCACAAGUCCGAGUGUGAACAAAAAUAUACGAACAAUAGUACAAACGAAUAAAGUCUCUAAAACAUAUUGACACGAUUAACUAGUUCAAAAAGUACAAAUACGAAUUCAAAUAUCAAUGCCAAAAUGAAACUAUCUCAAUAAUUUUGACAACAAGGAAUAAUCCCGAGAGCCAAUACCAAAUUUCUAAACGAGUACAAAACGAACGAAUUACAUUUAAAAGAGUAUCACCCGCUAGACUCCCUCAAUCCGAUCUAAUUAUCACAAUAAAAUAUAAUACAUAUAAUUAAAUCAUGAACUCAUACAAAUUAUAUUUUCUUAAAUUCAAUAAUUUUAAUAUACUAUACUCAGUUUAUACUCAAAAGAUAUAUUUUAAUUAUAAUAACAAUAUUAUAAUAUUAUUUCUUAUUUUCCCCUUAUUAAAUUCUGUAAUUCUAUUAUAUAUAUAUAUAUAUAACGAAAUUGCAGUAUAUAAAUAUAUAUAUAUAUAUAUAUAUAUAUAUCUAACGAAUUAGGUAUUACAUUACUAAUAUAUAAUACUAUUACUAACCUGCAGUAUAUAUAUAUAACUAGUAUAAAUAUAAGAGUUUGAAUCAUGAUGCUUACAAGUUUACAAAACUUCCGUUGUAACAUUUACUUAUUAUAUAUAUAAUAUAGUUAUGAUUCCUUCAAUUCACUACUUUUACCUUGAUACAAGACUUCUACAUUGGAACAAGUAUUAAGAACUGAUAAUUUAUAAGGCCAUACCGAACAAGAAAAGCUUUUCAUUCAAUAACAAAUAAACUAGUAACUUACAUCCAAUUUCUCCACUCCUCUUUGUUUAGCGGCGGUUUGGUUCUCCCUUCUCUUUUCUUUUCCAGUUGAUUCGCAGAGAUAUAAUAAAGCAGUUAGGUUUAGGUUUAUUUAUUAAUUAAUAUAUUUUAUUAAUACUUUUAAUUUUAUUAGGAUUUAAAAUGACACAAAUAUAAAUUAGACCCAAUUAAUUAAAAGACCCAAUUUAAUGUAAUAUUACUUAUUAUGGUCCAAAUAAAUUAAAUAGAAUCUGACUCAAACAUAAGGAAAGCCCAAUUAAAUAUUUUAAAGCUUACUUAAUUAUUUUAUUAUUAUUUUAUUGGGUAUUACAAUACAUAGGAGGUGCGGGAAAUGGGAAAGGCAUGAAAUCAGCAUCCUCGCCCCCUGGGCAGCAUGAAAGUUGGCGAACUUUGCAUGAUAAUGGUGGAAUUGGCUUUGCCAUUGGGCAACAGUGUCUACCUUGCAGUGCAAAAAACUUAGGCUGUUCAUAAUCUGUGCAAGGACCCCAGAAUCAAUGGUCUCAACAGAAGGGGGAGUUGGCGCUUGUGUGGAGGUUCCUGCCUCAUGGAUGGUUGUGGAUCAUCGGAUGGCGACGGCUAAGGCGCUGGCAAAAAUACUUCUCCUCGGGGAUGCGAUGGUGCACCUUCCCAGACUACAUACCGGCUAAUUAGAUGAUGAUCAAUGACCGACAUUGGAAGCAGGGUGACAUCUUCCAUCUCCCACUGAACACCCGCCCUUUUGCAUAGACGGGUAAUAAAAGACGGGUGCAAGAGGCCUGAUAUAACUUUGCUCUUUAUAGCCUUUUUGAUGGACUCAUUGAUCAAUACCCCCACAUCGACCCUUAACCCUGUAACAAUGGCAUAGAGCAGAGUCGCCAUUUCCCGAGUUACAUCACUCACAUUACGCGUAGGCUAGAUAUUUGCACAGAUAAAAGCGUACCAAGCUUUACCAUAGCGGCUAAGGGCCUGCUAGGGGAACGACGUUCUUUCAGUAGUGUACUCAUUUGUUUUCCACACCGUCCCGGGCUUACAAAGUUUGCUAACAAUUUCAUCAGUGUGGUAACUCCGAAUCCCAUUCUCCCUAUAAUCGCGACCGUCAAAAUUGGGAGUCCAAUAAACUUCAUUGAUAGCCUUGCUAUAGAAUGGGAUUAACUUCCCCCUUACUGGUGCCGCCGACGGGCCAUCUAGAAUGGCAUUAGCAUAGAACUCCUUCACCACCGCGACCACGGUUGAUUCCGACGGUUUGGUGAAAUAAACCCACUUCAUGGCAAUAAUCAUUGCAUUCAUCUAACCAUUUAAUUUAUCGUCAGGCCUAAGCCCGCGCUCAGGCACCAGGCUACGCAGCAAAAAAAUUUGGAUAUAGCGCUUAUAGGCUUCCUCCGAUGGAAAUUUCACGGCAUCCCAAGCCGUAACAGGCGUUCGGGAAGAGGACGGAGGAGGACCAAUACAUAUUUAUCUUAGUCCACUCUUCUAUUUUUCGAGUAAGAACCGAAUAAUCCACUAAGGAUGAGUGAUCACUAACAUCCGUUCAUUAAGAACAUUUACAACAACUAAAUCAUUAAAAUUCCUUCAGGUCAAAAAGACUUGAUUACAAAGGUCACCAAGACCUGAUAACAAAGGUUCAAUGACACUUCUGUUCCGCCAAGUUGCCACAAACUUUUAAAGUCGUUCCUAAAGUUCAUUUGUCGUAAAUUAAGUCCUUAAAGUGACAAUUUUUGGCAUUUCUAUUCUUUUUACCAUCUUUGACCCCAACCUGAUGGCAUCUUGAUUUGUUAAGAUUUUGUUUAAAAGACCCAUAAUUUCUUGGGAGGAGUUUUGUGGCUGAGUUGAUGAAGAUGGAUCUUUGAAAGUUAGAACAGGAAGAUUAUCAGGAGGAAGACAAAUGAACUUGCCAUCAACCAGUGACAAAUGAGAUAAUUUCAAAUUAACAGAGUCGAUGGACUCGUUGAGGGCCACUGACGUUUCAAUUUCAAAAGAGAUUUGAAAGUGCUAAAAUAGUUUUGUUAAAAAGCCAUUGUAUGGAAACAUUUUUUGCUUUGGCGAAGAUAAUUCAUCAUGUGGUGUAACAUCAUUAGAGAAAAAUUAAAGGACAUCCCUUUAAGAAUCAUGACCACAACAACCAAAUCUUGAUACCUAAAAUCUGCGCCUCCACCUAUGCGGGGCAACAAAUUGUAUCUGACUACUUUGUGUAGGACACAAGCACUCUUAAGUGUAUAUGCAUCACCCUUAAGUGUAAAAGAACAGACCCCAGUAGACGGAAUACUCAGAAUGCUACCUAAAUCCACAACUAUGAAGAACAGAGACUUACCCUUAACAAACGAGGUGUAGCAAUCACCAUUGUUCUCUAGAUUAGUGUAAAAUUUUUGGACUAACCUAGGAUAUGUAGUGGAGGCAGAAAAAAUCAUAGAGGAUAUGCCACAAGACUCGAAGAGAUUUUUCAUAGGAGAGUUUUGAUAAUAAAAUUGAUCGAUCGAUUUUUCAGACAUUGUUUAUGAACGAUUGAAUUUUGAAAGCGAGACUCAAAGAUAUUUCUUCUAAAAAAGUUUCCAGGCACAUUAGGAGAGGGGGUGAAGGAUUUUACCAGAGGAGAUGGGGGUUCCGACUGAGAUAGAGAAGGGUUUGCUUCAGCCUUUGGAUGUUUCGAUUUCUUUCCUUGAGAUGGACACGAUGAGUGCAUGGAAGCCGGACUGGUGUUUGACUCGUCGGUUGAGGUCAAGUGACUAGAGAUCGUAUGUUUCUCCAGCCAUGUCAGUUUUCGCUUCCUUCCUCUUGUUGGCUUUGACAGAUGAAAGAGCAUAUUCUGAUCUUCAGAUUCGGCGAGAGGACGUUUAUGUGCGAGUCCUCAUAGUUGCAGAGAACCGAAGAGGAGAGGGCGUGGAGAUGGUUUCGUGUAGAGAAUAAAGAGAGAGUGGAGAGGGUUUUUCUGAAUCGCCUUAAGGAAGAAGAGUAAAGUAAGAGAGAGAGGAGAGAGAUGGUUUCGAGUCUGAUAAAUUACCAGCGUAUUUUCUAAAUUCGAAGGGAGGCGGUUCAGCUUUGCCUUUUUAAAAUAUCGAACGGAUUCUGCACCCUUUUUCGAUACCCAGCAUUUAUUAUGGGAGUAGUAUCCAUCAAUUUUGCACGGACAAUCAGAUAUAUUCAAUGUAUCUCACAAUCUUUAAUAUAUGCCGAUAAUUUAGCACUCAACACAGAUGCAGUUAUACAUUUAGUGCUAAAAUUAUGAAGUACUUAUAUCAUGCAUAUCACAGUUGAAAUUAAUCAAU
rnacentral:lncRNA from 1 species